rnacentral:rRNA from 1 species
UACGUAGGGUGCAGGCGUUAAUCGGAAUUACUGGGCGUAAAGCGUGCGCAGGCGGUUUUGCAAGCCGGAUGUGAAAUCCCCGGGCUUAACCUGGGAAUGGCAUUUGGGACUGCAAGGCUGGAGUGCGGCAGAGGAGACUGGAAUUCCUGGUGUAGCAGUGAAAUGCGUAGAUAUCAGGAGGAACACCGAUGGCGAAGGCAGGUCUCUGGGCUGACACUGACGCUCAUGCACGAAAGCGUGGGGAGCAAACAGG